CCGGGAGCUUCGGAGACCCGCCCCGGGCCUGAGCGCAGGCUGCCUCCGGGACCCCACGGCUGUCCGGACGUGCCAUGGGCGCGCAGCUGCCGGGCAACGUGUUGUGUAAGUGAACAUCUGGGAGAUGUGCCACAGUUUACCCAUUCACCAAGAAGGACAUCUUGCUUGCUUCUAAGUUUUCAAAGUUAUGAAUAAAGCUGCUACAGACAUCCAUAUGCAGAUUUUUGCAUGGAUUUAAGCGUUCAACUUAUUGGGUAAAUACCAAGAAGCAGAACUGCUGGAUCAUACAGUAAGAAUGUUUCACUUUCUAAGAAACUGCCAGACUGUCCUCCCAAGGUAAACACUACACGUGAAGAGUGGUGAAAGGGAACAUUGAUUACUGAAGUGCCCUGGAGAGGGAAAGCACUGGUCAACAUCACAUGGACAAAUUUCAUUGUUUUCUAAAGAUGGCCUGGAAGUAGUCUUUGCCACUGCUUCCUCCACAAACAGCUCUUCAUAACAUGGGCUGCAUGAAAUCAAAGCAAACUUUCCCAUUUCCUACCAUAUAUGAAGGUGAGAAGCAGCAUGAGAGUGAAGAACCCUUUAUGCCAGAAGAGAGAUGUCUACCUAGGAUGGCUUCUCCAGUUAAUGUCAAAGAGGAAGUGAAGGAACCUCCAGGGACCAAUACUGUGAUCUUGGAAUAUGCACACCGCCUGUCUCAGGAUAUCUUGUGUGAUGCCUUGCAGCAAUGGGCAUGCAAUAACAUCAAGUACCAUGACAUUCCAUACAUUGAGAGUGAGGGGCCUUGAGGCUGUAGGAUGACAACACUUUGACUGUGGAGGUGCUAGUUUGAAUAAAUGUGACAAAAGC
rnacentral:lncRNA from 10 species